GUCCAUAAGAUACUUAAAAAUAUGAUACAAUCUCAGGCAGAAACAAAGCUAAAUGUAAAUAUUGACCUAAAAGGGAUUGACAUGCUAGCUUUGUGGCCAAAUUACGCACAUGCUAGCUUGACAUGCCUGCUUUACGCACGUGCUAGCUUAAUAGACUAAAACUUUUCAUACAUAUUCUUGAUGACAUAGUAAAAUGUUUAUGGCUGAAUAAUAUGCUCAUAAGUGAAUAUGUUCUAUUACACAUAUAUGAAUGCUUUUAAGGACUCUUUUAUUGAUGUGAUUACUUAUUUAGUACCAAUAAAUAUUUAACAUGAAACUAUGUAUUAUUGGCCCUAGUAAACCUCAGUGGGAGUCAUAGAUAGCAUAAGGGUAUGGCAUGCCAUAUACAGUUUAGCAGUACUGCGCCCUAAUGGGCUACAUGAUAUGAUAUUUUCGACACAUUACGUGUCAUACAGUUUUCCGGCUUUUUAGCCAUACAGGCAUAGCAUUCGGCUCCCAGGCCGUACAGUUUGGCACUUUGUGCUAUACAGAUACAGUUUUCCCUUAUCUAGCUAGUUGAUCCUACGAAGAGUUUAUAGGGGCUAAGAUUUAAUUAUAUGACUUGUUAAUGCUUUGCUAGCAUGCACACAAGAUGGUUACCAAAAUAUGAAUGAUCUUACUGCUAUAAAAUUUAAUGACCUGAUUUGUCCACUGACACAUAAAAUAUUUAUGUGCUUUUAUAUAACAUGAUUUCAUUAUAUAUGUCAUGAUUAUUCCUAGUAUACUUGAAUGAAUAUAUAUGUUGUUAUUCACCCACUGGGCAUAAGCUCAGCGCAUUGGAUUUUCCAUGCGCAGGUAAUAAAUAGAGGAAGCAACAGUUAGGAGGUCUGGUUCUGGAUCAGCACAGAGACAUCAUCAUAACCAGUUGUUCACAAGAUUUGUCCAGAGGUUCUUUAUGUUUGGCAUGUACAUUAAUAGUCUACCAAGAGUCUAUAAAUGAGUAUUGUAAAUAGUAUGAAUAUAACCAAAUGUGUUUACUAUUUUAAGUUAUUAUGUUCUAUUUGUGGUUUUAAUAGUGUGAAAUGAGUAAAUAUUGAAAUUUUAUGACUAGUUUUCACAGGGAUAAUUGCUAAUAAACAGGGGAGACUUUUGCGGUUUCUCCAUUUAAAAUUAUUUUGUGAAUCAACAUGCAUUUAAACGAACUAAAGAACAAUUUAUAAUGUCAAAGCUAUGUUAAGUCCACAUAUGUAAUUGCAUAUAGUAUAGUAUGUGUCAUCCUUUACUAAGUUAUUUUAUAGACGGGUAAGGGGUGUUACAUUUUUGGUAUCAGAGCAGAGGUUUAGGCAGUUCUAGGAUAUAGCAUAAUUUAAUGUACAUGCCAAGUGUGUCAAGGUUAUGAUGUGUCUCUGUAAAAUUGAUGCAGGCCUAUUUUGUGUUUUUAAUUGUUCAGAGAGGAUGUCUGAGGAAUCACAACGUGCUAUAGAUGAGGAGGUGGGAAGUCAUGCCCCCUCAGAACCCAUUGAGCCAGCAGUUGCACUAGCCCUUCAUGGUGAAGAUAGGCCAGGACAGGAUGCAUUUUUACAACAGUUGGCAGAUAUGUUUAGACGAGUUUCAGGGGCAGCACCUCAGGUGCCACCACCAGUUGCAGUACCUAUGCAGACUCCUGCUAGACCACCAAUAGACAAGCUUAGAAAAUAUGGAGCUAUGGAAUUCAAAGGCAGAAGAGAAGAUGAUGCUCCAGCAGUAGAGUACUGGCUGCAAAGUACAGAAAGAGUGUUGCAGCAGCUUCAGUGCACACCACCAGACAGUGUGGCUUGUGCAGUUGCUUUGUUACAAGAAGAGGCCUAUCAGUGGUGGGACACCACAUCACAGACAGUUCAAUCUGAGCAGCGGACUUGGGAAUUCUUUCUGGCUGAGUUUCAAAAGAAGUAUAUAGGAGAUUUAUAUAUGGAUGAGAAGAGAAGAGAGUUCCUAUAUUUGAGACAGGGCAGGAUGACUGUUAGCGAGUAUGAAAAAGAUUUCAUCAGACUGAGUAAGUAUGCCCGGGAAAUGGUGCCUACAGAGGAAGCUAAAUGUAAGAAAUUUGAGCAGGGUUUGCAUAAUGACAUUAGGGUGCUUUUGGCAGCCCAUUCCAUCAAAGAGUUCUCUACUCUGGUAAAUGCAGCGUUGAAUAUAGAGAAGAUAAAAGAAGAAGAACAGAGCUGGAGACAAAAAGGGCAACAGAAGAGAGGGCAAACCCAGAUGCAGGGGCAAUCCUCAGCCUCUCAAGCACCUAUAAAGAGACAAAGAGGUGCUUAGUCAUCAGGGCAGAGUCAAGUACAAAGACAAAGGCAGCCACUAGCGCAGAGUUUUGCGGGGAGGUUUGGGCAGCAAACUAGUACUUCUGUAGCCAGUUCAGGAAGUGCAGGCAGGGGACAAUACCCUAUAUGUGAGCACUGUGGUAGAAGGCAUUUGGGACCCUGCAGAAAAUUAACAGGGGCAUGCUUCAGGUGUGGAUCUACUGAGCAUCUUAUGAGAGACUGUCCUAGGGGACAGGUAUCUUCGGCACCACCAGUAGAGAGGCCUAUUCCUGCUGAAUUUAUAGGAAGAGGAAGGGGUAGAGGUAAUCAAACAGGGGCAGCUUCAGCCAGUCAGAGGGUGUCUGAAACAGUAGAUAAACCAGACUUCAGAACACCUGCUAGAGCAUAUGCCAUCAGGGCUAAAGAGGACAUAGACUCCCCAGAUGUGAUUGUUGGUACAUUCUCAAUCUUUGAUAAACCUGUGCAUGCAUUAAUAGACCCAGGAUCAACACAUUCAUACAUAUGUUUACCCAUUAUCAAUGAGGGGAAAUUACAAGCAGAUUCUCUAAACCAAGAUAUAAUAGUAACCAACCCCUUGGUCAUAGUGUGAUAGUGAGUAAAGUAUAUAGGGAUUGUCCUAUAUCCAUCCAUGGUCAGACUUUCCAUGGUGAUUUGAUAGAGUUACCCUUUAGAGAAUUUGAUGUAAUCCUUGGCAUGGACUGGUUAUCUAAGCAUCGGGUAAUAGUAGAUUGUAGAUCAAAAAGAAUUACAUUAAAAACACUUGCAAAUCAUGAUGUGGUAGUUGUAGGGGAGAGAGCAUAUUACCUGUCUAAUAUUAUAUCGGCCGCUACAGCUAGGAGAUUAAUCAGUAAGGGUUGUGAAGCCUACCUUGUUUGUGCACUUGAAACCAAAAAGGAGAAUCCAGGUGUGCAUGAUAUAUUCACAGUGUGUGAUUUCUCUGAUGUUUUUCCUGAUGAUCUUCCUGGGUUACCACUAGAGAGAGAGGUGGAAUUUGCCAUAGAUGUUAUACCAGGCACCGCACCUAUCUCUAUUGCUCCUUAUAGGAUGGCACCUACUGAACUAAAAGAGUUAAAAAUACAAUUACAAGAAUUGCUUGACAAGGGUUUCAUACGACCUAGUAUCUCACCUUGGGGCGCACCUGUAUUGUUUGUAAAAAAGAAGGAUGGGACACUAAGAUUGUGUAUAGAUUACAGGCAAUUAAAUAAGGUGACAAUUAAAAAUAAAUACCCUUUGCCCCGAAUAGAUGACUUGUUUGAUCAGCUAAAAGGAGCCAGUGUCUUUUCAAAAAUUGAUUUGAGAUCGGGUUAUCAUCAGUUGAAGAUAAAAGAAACAGAUGUCUCUAAAACUGCUUUUAGAACCCGAUAUGGACACUAUGAAUUUCUUGUUAUGCCUUUUGGGUUAACUAAUGCUCCUGCUGCUUUCAUGGAUUUAAUGAACCGCAUAUUUCAUCCCUACCUGGAUCAGUUUGUUGUAGUGUUCAUAGAUGACAUCUUGAUAUACUCAAAGACUAAGGAAGAACAUGAUCAACAUUUGAGGAUAGUAUUACAGACUCUGAAAGAGAAACAACUUUAUGCCAAGCUUAGUAAAUGUGAGUUUUGGCUAAAUGAUAUGUCCUUUCUUGGGCAUGUUGUGUCAGCUGAAGGAAUCAGAGUAGAUCCUAAAAAGAUAGAAGCUAUUUUGAAUGGAAACCACCUAAGAAUGUAGCAGAGAUUAGGAGUUUUCUGGGUUUGGCUGGAUACUAUAGGCGGUUUGUAAAGGGAUUUUCAAUCAUUGCUGCCCCAUUGACUAAAUUGUUGCACAAGAAUGUUAAAUAUGACUGGGAUGACAAAUGCCAGGAGAGUUUUGAAAAGCUUAAAAAGAUGCUUACAGAGGCACCUGUCCUUACACAGCCAGAGUCGGGUAAAGAUUUUGUGAUCUACAGUGAUGCCUCACAUAAUGGACUGGGUUGUGUACUCAUGCAGGAGGGGAAGGUAGUUGCUUAUGCUUCAAGACAAUUAAAGCCACAUGAGAAGAACUACCCUACUCAUGAUUUAAAGUUAGCAGCCAUAGUCUUUGCAUUAAAGAUAUGGAGGCAUUACUUGUAUGGAGAAAAAUGUUAUAUCUAUACAGAUCAUAAAAGUUUAAAGUAUUUGCCCACACAAAAGGAGCUUAACCUGAGACAGAGAAGAUGGUUAGAGUUGCUUAAGGAUUAUGACUGCAUUAUUGACUAUCAUUCAGGUAAAGCCAAUCUGGUACAGAUGCACUUAGCAGGAAAUCCUUUGCUGCUUUAAGAGCUUUGAAUGCCCGUCUAUCUUUAGCUAAUAAUGGGGCUAUCAUAGCAGAACUAAAGCUUAGACCCAAUCUACUUCAACAAGUCCAGGAAGCACAGAAAGGGGAUAUUGAAACAGCUUUGUGGAUAAGGCAAGUCCAAGAGGGAAAAAAACAGAAACAUGUGGUUCAGGAUGAUGGCUAUUUGUAUUAUGAAGGCAGAAUAUGUGUACCUAAUGUUGAUGACCUGAGGAAGAACAUUCUGGAGGAAGCACACAGUAGUUCAUAUGCUAUGCAUCCUGGUAGCACUAAAAUGUAUCAAGAUUUGAAACUGCAUUAUUGGUGGCCAGGUAUGAAGAAAGAUAUAGUUGAAUUUGUGGCUACAUGUUUGACUUGUCAGCAGGUGAAAGCUGAGCAUCAAGUUCCAUCUGGUCUUUUACACCCUAUUUCCAUACCAGAAUGGAAGUGGGAUAGGAUCACUAUGGAUUUUGUUGUGGUAUUGCCAAUGACACCAAGGAAAAAAGAUGCCAUAUGGGUGAUUGUAGAUAGAUUGACUAAGUCAUCUCAUUUCUUGCCAGUGAGAACUGAUUACUCAUUGGAGAAAUAUGCAGAAUUAUAUAUCACUAAAAUAGUUCGAUUACAUGGAGUACCUGUUUCCAUUAUUUCAGAUAGGGACCCGAGGUUCACAUCCAGAUUUUGGGAGAAAUUGCAUGAAGCACUGGGUACUAAGUUGAAUUUUAGUACAGCUUUUCAUCCUCAAACAGAUGGGCAAUCUGAAAGGGUAAUUCAAACACUGGAAGAUAUGCUUAGAAGUUGUGUUAUUGAAUUCGAAGGGAGGUGGGAGAGAUACCUUCCAUUGGUUGAAUUUGCAUACAACAACAGUUAUCAAGCAAGUAUCAAAAUGGCACCUUAUGAAGCAUUAUAUGGAAGGAAAUGUAGAACUCCAUUGUGCUGGACAGAACUCAGAGAAGCUAAAGUGAUAGGUCCAGACUUGGUGAGGGAAACAGAAGAGAAAGUGAGAACUAUCAAGGAAAGGUUGAAAGCAGCUUCAGAUAGACAGAAGUCUUAUGCAGAUUUGAAGAGAAAAGAUAUAGCAUAUGAAGUUGGAAAUAAAGUGUUUCUUAAAGUCUCUCCAUGGAAAAGGGUGCUCAGAUUUGGCAAAAAGGGAAAGUUAAGUCCUAGGUUUGUAGGUCCAUAUGAGAUAAUUGAACGUGUGGGUCCGAUAGCCUACAGGUCAGCAUUACCCCCUGGAUUAGAUAAGAUACAUAAUGUCUUCCAUGUAUCCAUGCUGAGAUGAUACAGAUCUGAUCCUUCUCAUGUCAUUUCUUCUGAGACAAUUGAUAUUCAACCUGAUUUGACUUAUAAGGAGGAACCAGUGAAGAUUUUAGCACGAGAAAUAAAGGAGCUGAGGAAUCAGAAUAUUCCAUUAGUGAAGAUUCUUUGGAGAAACCACAAAACAGAGGAAGCUACAUGGGAAAGUGAGGAAUUAAUGAGGCAACAACACCCCCAACUAUUCAUGAUAGGUAAAUUUCGAGGACGAAAUUCUUUUUAAAAGGGGGGGAGAAUUGUCACAUUCCAAAACCUGCAGAUAGAAAUAAAGCAACCAUUAGCUUUCAAUUGUACCAUUCCGAAGUUAGAAUAACUAGCUUCAGGGGAGGUGCUAGCUUAACCUCGAGCUAAUUAGGGGAGGUGCAAGCUUAUCCAUAGCCGUCUGACACACAAUUCGUUUAAAGAUAGAGCACUAAAAGUUGUGUUUAGAGGUCUAACUUGCAUUUCAUAUAGAGUUAUACGUCCAAAGGUAGAGUUAAAAUAAGAACGACCAGUAAUAGUAUUUUAACAUCUUCAAACUGUAAUAACUGAAUCAUAGAAAACCCAAAUAAGAAAACAGACAUAUCUUAAAAUAAAGUAUCUAACGUGAUAAGCAGGUCAGAAUCAAGUUGCUAUCGGGAGGUGCUUAAGGGUUUCCCGACAUGCUAGCUUGAGGUGCUUCCUAAAACCGACGUGCUUGCUUAAAUGAAAUGAACUUCUAAAUAUUAGAAAUUUAAGUUUAGUAGGUCAAUCUAUGAAUAUUGAAAGUUUAAAAACUAAAUUGAAAUAUGUGGAAAAGUUUAGUAGGUGAAAGUGUGAAUAUGGAAAGUUUAAAAGUAAAAUUCCAAGUUUGCCCUCCACCUUUUUCUAUAUUUACACCUAACCCACCAUAUGACACCUAGCCAUACAUGACUAAGUAUGAAAGAAAUGGGUUGUCUUCAUUUGCUUCAUCCUUGCCGUACCUACACCAAAAGGAAAGAGAAAAAGCUUUUGCUUUCUUAUCUUCCAUUUCCACCAUAUUUCACCAAAAAGAUAAAAUCUCCAGCCACUCAAAAUCUGUUCUUGAGUGUAAUAACCAGCAAGGAAACCAUAGAAAGGGAGAAAAUAAGGAGAGAAGUUAAGGUGCUUAAGUGGUAAGUGAUGAAAUUGAAAACUAGGUUAGGUAAACAUAUUCUUUCAUGUUUCAAUUAAUUAUAUGUUGUUAAAUGAAUUAAAGCUCCUGUUUUUCUUAUUCUUUGUAAAGAACAAACUCAAAGGGAGGAAGGUACAUCAAAGGGGAAAGGCAAGGAAAAAGAGUAACUAAGGUGUACCUAAAGAUUUUGAAAAGAAUUUACAAAAGGUUUGGUGUUUGUAUGACUUUCUGUUUUCCUUUGAUUCUGUCAUGAAUAAGUGAAAUUAGGGGUUGAUUUUACUUGCUGGAAAUGUUGCUUUGAUUGUAUGGAUAUGUAAUAUGAAUGUUGAAAUGAUGAUUGGAAGGUUUAAAGCACAUAGAUACAACAUGGGAACCAAAAACAUAAAACUGGCAGAAUAGAUUCCAACAGGACAGUCUGUGUUAGAAGUCUCAUAACUUAUUGUGUGAUCAUUGAAAUUAAACCUAAAAUAUACCAAAUGAAAGCUAAGACACAAAUAUAAAACUUUCAUGAAGUGACAAAAUUCUGAAUCUGUAGCUAAUUAUGUGAAAAUUGCUAGUGAACCUAAGCCGGUCACAGGAAAUUGUGCAUCCGGAGCAGUAUGUAUCUCCUAGACCAUAACUAAUGAUUUACUCAAUGAAAUGAAUUAAGACCAGUGCCAAAUGAACCCUGAAAAGUAUACCUAAAACUUGGUACAAGAAUGUUAAGCUUGAAUCUGUAUGAAAAUGUAUGCAUAUGAUAGGUUUUGUUAGAUUAAAAACAGAUACCAAAACUGUACUGGUUAGGACCUGAUUGAGGAGGUUGCAAAGAAAAAUUCAUAACUUAAGUUAGGAAGGUCAGAAUUAGAUGUAAUAUAUCUUGUUAGAAAGCUAAGACAUAAAUACACAACAUUAAUGAAGAAAAGUAAUUCUAAUUAUGUCCAUAAGAUACUUAAAAAUGUGAUACAAUCUCAGGCAGAAACAAAGCUAAAUGUAAAUAUUGACCUAAAAGGGAUUGACAUGCUAGCUUUGUGGCCAAAUUACUCACAUGCUAGCUUGACAUGCCUGCUUUACGCACGUGCUAGCUUAAUAGACUAAAACUUUUCAUACAUAUUCUUGAUGACAUAGUAAAAUGUUUAUGGCUGAAUAAUAUGCUCAUAAGUGAAUAUGUUCUAUUACACAUAUAUGAAUGCUUUUAAGGACUCUUUUAUUGAUGUGAUUGCUUAUUUAGUACCAAUAAAUAUUUAACAUGAAACUAUGCAUUCUUGGCCCUAGUAAACCUCAGUGGGAGUCAUAGAUAGCAUAAGGGUAUGGCAUGCCAUAUACAGUUUAGUAGUACUGCGCCCUAAUGGGCUACAUGAUAUGAUAUUUUCGACACAUUACGUGUCAUACAGUUUUCCGGCUUUUUAGCCAUACAGACACAGCAUUCGGCCCCCAGGCCAUACAGUUUGGCACUUUGUGCUAUACAGAUACAUUUUUCCCUUAUCUAGCUAGUUGAUCCUACGAAGAGUUUAUAGGGGCUAAGAUUUAAUUAUAUGACUUGUUAAUGCUUUGCUAGCAUGCACACAAGAUGGUUACCAAAAUAUGAAUGAUCUUACUGCUAUAAAAUUUAAUGACCUGAUUUGUCCACUGACACAUAAAAUAUUUAUGUGCUUUUAUAUAACAUGAUUUCAUUAUAUAUGUCAU
rnacentral:lncRNA from 1 species